UUUUUUUUUUUUUUUUUUUUUUUUUGAGAGGGAGUCUCUUGCUCUGUCCCCCAGGCUGGAGUGCAGUGGCGCGAUGUCGACUCACUGCAAGCUCCGCCUCCUGGGUUCACGCCAUUCUCCUGCCUCGGCCUCCUGAGUAGCUGGGACUACAGGCGCCCGCCACCGCACCAGGCUAAUUUUUUGUAUUUUUAGUAGAGACGGGGUUUCACCAUGGUCUUGAUCUCCUGACCUUGUGAUCCGCCCGCCUCAGCCUCCCAAUGUGCUGGGAUUACAGGCGUGAGCCACUGCGCCCGACCUCUAUGAUUUUUUUUUUUAAACCUAUUUCCUUUAGAUCAUUAUGAUGUAUAUGUAUAUAUCCAGAAAAAAAUUAAUAAAUGUCACAUUCAGAUACCUUAUAGGCAAAUAAAUCAUUUCUCUCAUGGCAUGAGCUCAGUAUUGGAAGCUAUAGAUGGCAAGUGAAUCAACAGGCAGGGUGGCCUUGGACAACUUGUCUAAUCUUCCUGGCAUUGGGAAUAAAGCACUUAGCAUCAUAGGAUCUUUUUUAAAUGAGUUAAAUGGAUAGUAACCUUAAGAUCUCCUAUAAAUGUCAUGAGGUCCUUUCUACUUAACAUAUUGUAGUUCCUUUGAUGUCUACUGCAGUCUGCUCUCUUUACUUGACCUUUACUUUGUAAAACUAAGUAGUAAUAUGCAGCUGCUGGCUUUCUGCACAGGGGCCCCAAAGGUAAUAGAUUCCAAGCCUCACAACAUCAGAGGUAUCUCUUCAAGGAGUAAGUUAAUCCUUUCAAAUCUCCCUAGUUAGUUUCUUACCAUCCUUAUCAGGUUCUCUGCUACUUGUUUGAUCAUAUCCUUUAAUCUAACUCAUUGAUUUGUUAUCUCUAAACACCAUUUUAGUUUAAUUUGCAGCUCUGAUGUCCAUUAGCAAGUGAUUACAGUGAAUGAACUUAACUGCUGUAUAUUGAGAUAAAAUACCUUUUCAAAUCCUUUGGAAGGCCUGGGGAGUGAUAAAUCUGUAGUGCUCAGGAAGGCUUCAAAGGUUAUGACAAUUGGGUUCUAAGGUUGAUACAAAUGGUUUUGAAAUUCACUUUCUCAUAUUUAUAGUUUGCAUGUAAUCUUAGGGCAUCAGUGAAUGGUCAUGCUGAAAAUAUUGAAUAACCAGGAGCUAGUUUGCAAAAGUAAAUAUAAAUGAAUACCAUUUUCUUAGUGCACUUAUAUCCUAUGUAAUGGGUUAUCUAUCUUUAGGAACAAUGAUAUUCUUUCUGGGACCAACUGCUUUAAUUCUGAGUACACUUCUGUACCAGGGGUUGCUGUCAUAUUUGUUCAUUAAGAGGUCCAUAUAUUUCGCUAUCGCUUGUGAGUGCACCAAGCUAGGAAAUUUCUAUGCUCAAUUUAAGUGGAUUUCCUAGAUAACUGAAGCUUAUCUUCUACUUAAAAAUAUUUCAAAAUUAGAUUACAUUCUCACCUUCCUUUUUCAAGUAUCUUAUAUUUGGCAUUUCUUUUAUGAAUUUUAAAUAUGUUUUUGUUCUUUGCAAUGGUUCUGGUAUAUAUUUAUCACUUCUUUUUACUUUCUUCAUUGAAUUUGUGUGUGUGGUGUUUUAUUUUUUGUUGUGGUUAAGUGAUAUUUCUUGCUUCUGUUUACCAUGUAGAAGGAUU
rnacentral:lncRNA from 1 species